UCUGGUGACGAUGGCAAGAUGGUUCCACCUGUUCCCAUCCCGAACACAGAAGUUAAGCAUCUUAGCGCCGACGAUAGUUAUUACAAUUAGCGAAAAUAGGACGUUGCCAGGCAU
rnacentral:rRNA from 1 species